GUCGCAGUUGCACAUCUUCCAUCGGAAACGCCGCGGUCCAAGAAGCGCAAAAGCCCAAAGACUACCUCAUACUGGUCAUAUUGUCCUGCUUCUGCCCUGUCUGGCCCGUCAGCAUUGUUGCUUUGUUAUUUUCAAUUAUGUCAAGAAACAGCCUGCAGUCGGGAGACAUGGACGGCGCUAAGAGACUGGGUAAACUGGCUCGACUCCUCAGUGUCGUUUCCAUAUUCCUGGGUGUGCUCAUCAUAGUCGUCUCUGUAACGGUCUCUGUAACCAAGUGACCAGUGUAUAUACUAUGAAACAAGAGCACUGCUGCAAGCCAAGCAGAGGAUGCAGCAUGGAAAAAAUAUAUAAAUUCCAUUGAUUCCUGAGAUGAAAAAAAAUAUCAUCACCUGCUCAACACUGUAAUCAAGAUCAAGGCAAAACAUUUAAAAGUAGGAAAUGCAGUAGGAAAUACACUAGCAAAUGAAUAAACCAAAGCAAAAAUAUCCAGAUAUGCAUGAAUUAGAUUACAGUAACAUUUGCUUGAUGAAUAAGAAAAUCCUUAACAUAAAAAGGGUUUCAAAAGAACGUUGGACGAUUGACUUUUGGUUUGAAGGACUUGCUACUCUCAUUCGAUUCUCUGUGGAGUAAAAAUAGUCUUAAGAUGAAGAAGAGAGGGAUGAACAGAGGAAUGAAGUGAUACAAACUUUUCUGUAUCAAGAAAGGAAGGAGACCUUGAAAAUGGACUCCAAACAUCAAGACAGCUGAAUAAUAACCUAAAUAUAUACCUAGUUGGCCUGACCGCCUGCAUUGAAAGCAUAUACAACUAUACAGAUAUAUUUGCAAUAUAAGUAUAUACAGAUUAAUAUAUCAAUUCACAUUUGAUAAAAGUUGUGUGUGUUGGGCUACGAUGAUUGAGACUCAAGUUAAGAUGGCUACCUGGCCGGCAGUGGCUGUCGCCUACUAUGGUUUGCCGAAGGAUGUAAUAUUUGAUCAGGGAACACAAUUCAGAGAAGAUGUUUUUGAAUUUAUGUUGGUUUUUUUUGUAGGUUUUUGACAAAAAUAAGAGACCACUUGCAUGCAUGUCUUGACUUGUAGAUAGCCAACCUUUUUAAUUUAGUUUGUGAAUUCAUACUUGUUUGUCUGUGUUUUUACCUUGGGAUAUAACGAGCCAGUUGCUUAGAGCCUUUGGAGAGUGAAUUGAACAUACUGUAAGUGUUUCGGCUCCAUGUGGGUUGACUGUGGGUAAGGACAGAAACAGAAUACCCCCCCCCCCUUCAACCCUCUUCUCCCCUGCCUUGCUGUGGGAGGGGUCUGACUAUAUUAAUGCACAUGCCUACCCACCCCAUCCCCUCCAAACAUCCAUGCCAGAACAUGGGCAUAAGUCUGAGAAUAUUCAAUUUGUCAGAACCAUCACUGUCCCCUUCCCCACUGCCCCACUGCCCCCCUCCAAUUCCAACCCACCCUACACCAGUACCUGGUCUCAUUACCUGGACUGUUAAUGUAACUUGUUUCACUGAAUGUAUUUUGUAGUACUACAGAGACCAACACCAAUCCUUAACCUAUUGCCACCGUGCUGUAUCGGUAUGACAUGUAUUUAUAUGAAGAAUAUAUAUGCAAUAUUAUAUAGGCAUGCUUUGGGCUAAACGAUACCCAGGUUUUUGUAUGUCAUUGUAAGGACCGACUGUAACGUUAAAGGAACAUUGUUUUGAGGUUUGAUCGAUUGAUUUGCAGCAGUUCUCUCUGUACCUGUAACACACUCAUUUGUCUGUAUUCAAAUGUGUCACCAUGCCAUCUGGAAUAAGUCACACAGUUGGUUCUAAUUCUACUGCGGUAACACAACAAAGGACUGUUAUAUUGACACACUUCAGAUGUUUACUGGAAGGUCAUAACACCUCUUAUAAAACCUUCAGUACCACUACAUGAUGCUUCGUAACAACCUUGUUUGGACUUACGUUCAUGUUCGUAUUACUCUCGUAACUGAUACUCUUCAACUCCCAUUUGAUUUCAAUACUGUAAGUUGACAUUAGAGAUUAUUAAUAUUUUCUUGAUUCAACUGCUUGUCUUAUCAAGGGCUAAUGUAGGUGUUAGCUACACAUGAGAUCAAAGAGAAAUAAUUCUAUGAUAAUUUGAUUGAAUUGAUCUGGCCUGAAUUUAAAAUGUUCAAAGAGAUAUAAAAUGAUUGAAAAAGCACCUGUAAUUUGUGAAAAAGGUCACCAUAUUAACAUCUAAGGUCUCCUUUGAAUCCUCUAAACUAUGAACACACAUUGGUUAAUUCCUUGAUGAAUAAAAAACAAUUCUGCCCCUGUCUAAGCAUGCAAAGCACUAGAUAAAACCAGGAAACUCUCAACAAUAUAAUGAGAACACUUUUGGCAUCUGUACUGUAUUUCUAGAAACAACAAAUAGAAAUAGGACCACAGCUGUUGAAUGACUCAACAUGGUCACGAUGUUAAAAAGCACUGAACUCAAGACAGCCUGACAGCACAUCUUUGGGUAUGAUAACAAAAAUGGCAGCAAGUUGAUGUUGCUAUACAAGUUAUAUUGUACAAUAGCACGCUCGUACAGCCACAGUGUGCUUCACUUGACAGGUGGGCUGAAGAGACAUCCCUGUCGAAAGAGCUCUAAUUUUUAUCUCUGGGCAACAGGCAUGUACAAACUAACUUCCCACAC